CAGCCUCCCAAGUAGCUGGGACUACAGGCGCCUGCCACCGCGCCCGGCUAAUUUUUUGUAUUUUUAGUAGAGACGGGGUUUCACCGUGUUAGCCAGGAUGGUUUCGAUCUCCUGACCUCGUGAUCCGCCCGCCUUGGCCUCCCAAAGUGCUGGGAUUACAGGCGUGAGCCACCGCGCCCGGCCCGUGAAACUUGCUUUCUUAAAAAAUAAUAAUAACUUGUUAUCUGAAGAAAAUUAAAAGAUUAUCUUUUAAGAGAGAUAAACAUUCUUACAAAAAACUAUAUUUUCCUCUAUCAUCUCUUUAAAAGAAAUGCAAACCAGUUCAUUAUCUUUGUUUUUUUGAGAGUCACACUCUAUUGCCCAGGCUGGAGUGCAGUGGCGCCAUCUCGGCUCACUGCAAUCUCUGCCUCCUGGGUUCAAGCAAUUCUUCUGCCUCAGCCUCCCAAGUAGCUGGGAUUACAGGCACAUGCCUCCAUGCCUGGCUAAUUUUUUAAUUUUUAGUAGAGGUGAGGUUUUGCCAUGUUGGCCAGGCUGGUCUGGAACUCCUGGCCUCAAGUGAUCUGCCCGCCUCAGCCUCCCAAAGUGCUGGGAUUACAGGUGUGAGCCACCACGCCCGGCCUAGUUCAUUAUCUUUAAUAAUGAACUAGACAAUAAACUAAUUGUUGUCUAAAAACUUCUGAAUACAUGAAGUACAAGUCUGAGCUGUCAAGUCAAAAAUGCCAUUUAGAUUUCACAUAUUAAACAGCUAUAGUAGGCCAGGCAAUUACAUGCACCAAUAUCACCCUAAAAUCAAAGGCAUAAAAAUAAAGGCUGAAAACUUUGUGUUUCUCCAUCUUUCAUUUACAUGGCUAGAUAUCAGAAUCUUACUUUAGAAAAUAUACAAUUAUUAUAUAUGGUUUCCCCAGAUGGUAAUUUUCGGAAACUACAAAAAGUGUCAAGAUCCAUAAUUUGCUUCAUCAAAUGCUUUUCUAGCUCGUUUCAAUUCUUCAUUCAUAGUAAGCAAGUCUUUAACCCUGGCAAACUUCCUUGGGUCCUUUCGAAUCAAGAAGACGAUAUCUUCAACUUGUACUCGACCUUGUCUUCCAAUUGACAUUGCCUUGUGAGUC
rnacentral:lncRNA from 1 species